rnacentral:rRNA from 1 species
CAAGUCGAGCGGUAACAGAAAGUAGCUUGCUACUUUGCUGACGAGCGGCGGACGGGUGAGUAAUGCCUGGGAAUUUGCCCAUUCGAGGGGGAUAACAGUUGGAAACGACUGCUAAUACCGCAUACGCCCUACGGGGGAAAGGAGGGGACCUUCGGGCCUUCCGCGAAUGGAUAAGCCCAGGUGGGAUUAGCUAGUAGGUGAGGUAAUGGCUCACCUAGGCGACGAUCCCUAGCUGUUCUGAGAGGAUGAUCAGCCACACUGGGACUGAGACACGGCCCAGACUCCUACGGGAGGCAGCAGUGGGGAAUAUUGCACAAUGGGCGAAAGCCUGAUGCAGCCAUGCCGCGUGUGUGAAGAAGGCCUUCGGGUUGUAAAGCACUUUCAGCGAGGAGGAAAGGUUACUGGCUAAUAUCCAGUAGCUGUGACGUUACUCGCAGAAGAAGCACCGGCUAACUCCGUG